rnacentral:siRNA from 1 species
UUGUAGGUGACAACAUUAGGUCUA